rnacentral:rRNA from 1 species
UACGAAGGGGGCUAGCGUUGUUCGGAAUUACUGGGCGUAAAGCGCACGUAGGCGGCUUUGUAAGUUAGAGGUGAAAGCCCAGUGCUCAACACUGGAACUGCCUUUAAGACUGCAUCGCUUGAAUCCAGGAGAGGUGAGUGGAAUUCCGAGUGUAGAGGUGAAAUUCGUAGAUAUUCGGAAGAACACCAGUGGCGAAGGCGGCUCACUGGACUGGUAUUGACGCUGAGGUGCGAAAGCGUGGGGAGCAAACAGG